CCAGACUCCUACGGGAGGCAGCAGUGAGGAAUAUUGGUCAAUGGGCGAGAGCCUGAACCAGCCAAGUCGCGUGAAGGACGACGGUUCUAUGGAUUGUAAACUUCUUUUGUAGAGGAAUAAUGGCAGCUACGUGUAGCUGAGAUGCAUGUACUCUACGAAUAAGUAUCGGCUAACUCCGUGCCAGCAGCCGCGGUAAUACGGAGGAUACGAGCGUUAUCCGGAAUUAUUGGGUUUAAAGGGUGCGUAGGUGGCGUAUUAAGUCAGUGGUGAAAAGCUGCAGCUCAACUGUAGUCUUGCCGUUGAAACUGAUAUGCUAGAGAGGAGACGAGGUAUGCGGAAUGUGUGGUGUAGCGGUGAAAUGCAUAGAUAUCACACAGAACGCCGAUUGCGAAGGCAGCGUACCAGGCUCCGUCUGACACUGAAGCACGAAAGCGUGGGGAUCAAACAGGAUUAGAUACCCUGGUAGUCCACGCAGUAAACGAUGAAUACUAGAUUUUUGCGAUAUAGUGUAAGAGUCUAAGCGAAAGCGAUAAGUAUUCCACCUGGGGAGUACGCCGGCAACGGUGAAACUCAAAGGAAUUGACGGGGGCCCGCACAAG
rnacentral:rRNA from 1 species